rnacentral:lncRNA from 1 species
UGUUUUUCAUUUCCUGAACUGUGACCUAUGUUUUGAAGCCAUGCUUUUCAUUUUUCAGCUGAAUCGCUUUCAUUUUGUAAACCCAGCACCUCUGUCACAGAGCACCAUGUCUCGCACCAAGAUUCCAUUUACUUCUCUUAUGUAGAGAGAACAGAUAAAUUGAGGCUUGUUUCAGACCAUUGUAUGUGUCCAUCUGCACCAGGAAAACCAUUGGAUGUGUUCAUCUGCACUGGGAAGACCAUUAUCCUGUGAGGUUUUGAGCAGCUUGUUCCAGUAAAACUCAUGAGAGCAGUAACAGUAAUGGACACUAUUUGAUGUCUCAUCUCAGUGUAUUUGUCAUGCCAUGAGGCCCGUUGAUGCCAGCAGGCAAAGGAUCAUCACUCUGUUACCCAGGGACAGAUAAACGAUGGCUCGACCGGUCUCCGAAGGAGUGGAUUUUGUGUGUUAAAGCUGCCCACAUGCCAAGAAAUUGA